rnacentral:rRNA from 1 species
AACGUAGGAGACAAACGUUAUCCGGAGUUACUGGGCGUAAAGGGCGUGUAGGUGGUUUCGUAAGUCUGGCGUGAAAUUUCCCGGCUUAACCGGGAGUGGUCGUCGGAUACUGCGGGACUAGAGGACGGUAGAGGCGUGUGGAAUUCCGGGUGUAGUGGUGAAAUGCGUAGAGAUCCGGAGGAACACCAGUGGCGAAGGCGACACGCUGGGCCGUACCUGACACUGAUGCGCGACAGCAUGGGGAGCAAACGAGGAUUAGAAAACCCGUUGUUAGAUC